GGGCCUGUGGUGUAAUGGCAGCACAGCACUCCGUCAAAGUGGCAGGUGCGGGUUCGACUCCCGUCAGGUCCA
rnacentral:tRNA from 1 species